AUAGCCACUCCUAAAUAAAACAUAGAGUAGGAAUGGCAAAAAAAUUAAAUCUGACUCGCAUCCGUAAAGAUUUAAAAUAUCAGAAUCCACAAAAAUUAUAUAUGUAUAUAAAAAAAUACAUAUUCGGAGUCUAAUUUUUAAGAUUCAUGUGGAUUUGGCUAUAGAUCCAGAUGCACUGCCAUACGAAAAGUCGAGUAUCUAGAUCUGCAAAAUUUUUUAUUUAAAUUAUUUAUGAAUUUUCACUUUAAAAUAUAUAAGUGAAAUUGGAAAAAAAAAACUAAUAUAACCCUAAAACUAAAAACACACACUCAUAACUCACCACUCACCAGAAGCCGCAAUCGGAAACAACCCCAAAUCCUUAAUUGUCGAAUGCCGAAUGCCUCGCCUGAGCUAAAAUUGCGCUGUCGUCGAACUGAAUAUGAUGUUGAUAGGAAGAAUGGCUGCAAAAUCAUGUCUUUCCAAGAACUGUCACCGAGAGAAAGUGGGAAAAGAUUCCAUGAUCACAAUAAAGAGUGUAGAGGUUUGCUUAGUUGUGAUGUGAUUUAUAAUACUAGUAGAAGCUUUGACAAAAAUUGAACAUGGCUACGCAUAGCUUUUGCUACAGUAAGGGGUUCUUUUGUAG
rnacentral:lncRNA from 1 species